rnacentral:rRNA from 1 species
UACGAAGGGGGCUAGCGUUGCUCGGAAUCACUGGGCGUAAAGCGCACGUAGGCGGAUUGCUAAGUCAGGGGUGAAAUCCUGGAGCUCAACUCCAGAACUGCCUUUGAUACUGCCGUGCUUGAGGACUGGAGAGGAGACUGGAAUUUACGGUGUAGCGGUGAAAUGCGUAGAUAUCGUAAGGAAGACCAGUGGCGAAGGCGGGUCUCUGGACAGUUCCUGACGCUGAGGCACGAAGGCCAGGGGAGCAAACGGG